GAGAUCAUGACCUGAGCCGAAGUCGGACACUCAACUGACUGAGCCACCCAGAGAACGGCGCAAACUGUAGCUGCUGAUAGAACCCAGCUUUACUCAAGCAUGAAGAAUCAUUCAAGCGCAGACUGAACAAAAGAAGUUGGAGAGGAGGCACUUCUUUUUCGUCAAAUUUUGAUUAAAAGGGUAAGAAUGACUUGA